rnacentral:rRNA from 1 species
UGUUCUUCGUGACAUAGCGAACUGCUCAGUAACACGUGGAUAACCUACCCUUAGGACCGGAAUAACCCCGGGAAACUGGGGAUAAUACCGGAUAAGCCAUUGACGCUGGAAUGCCCUAUGGUUCAAAGCUCCGGCGCCUAAGGAUGGAUCUGCGGUCUAUCAGGUUGUAGUGGGUGUAACGUACCUACUAGCCGACGACGGAUACGGGUUGUGAGAGCAAGAGCCCGGAGAUGGAUUCUGAGACACGAAUCCAGGCCCUACGGGGUGCAGCAGGCGCGAACACUUUACAAUGCGGGAAACCGCGAUAAGGGAACCCCGAGUGCCAGCACCAAGUGUUGGCUGUCCGGAUGAUUAAAAAUCAUUUGUUAGCAAGGGCCGGGCAAGACCGGUGCCAGCCGCCGCGGUAACACCGGCGGCCCGAGUGGUAGCCGUUUUUAUUGGGUCUAAAGGGUCCGUAGCCGGCCUGAUAAGUCCUUUGGGAAAUCUGGCAGCUUAACUGUCAGGCUUCUAAGGGAUACUGUCAGGCUUGGGACCGGAAGAGGUAAGGGGUACUCCAGGGGUAGGAGUGAAAUCUUGUAAUCCCUGGGGGACCAUCUGUGGCGAAGGCGCCUUACCAGAACGGGUCCGACGGUGAGGGACGAAAGCUAGGGGAGCAAACCGGAUUAGAUACCCGGGUAGUCCUAGCUGUAAACGAUGCUCGCUAGGUGUCAGACACGG